GAUGAACGCUGGCGGCGUGCCUAAUACAUGCAAGUCGAGCGAACAGACGAGGAGCUUGCUCCUUCGACGUUAGCGGCGGACGGGUGAGUAACACGUAGGUAACCUACCUAUAAGACUGGGAUAACUUCGGGAAACCGGAGCUAAUACCGGAUAAUAUUUCGAACCGCAUGGUUCGAUAGUGAAAGAUGGCUUUGCUAUCACUUAUAGAUGGACCUGCGCCGGAUUAGCUAGUUGGUAAGGUAACGGCUUACCAAGGCAAUGAUACGUAGCCGACCUGAGAGGGUGAUCGGCCACACUGGAACUGAGACACGGUCCAGACUCCUACGGGAGGCAGCAGUAGGGAAUCUUCCGCAAUGGGCGAAAGCCUGACGGAGCAACGCCGCGUGAGUGAUGAAGGUCUUCGGAUCGUAAAACUCUGUUAUUAGGGAAGAACAAACGUGUAAGUAACUGUGCACGUCUUGACGGUACCUAAUCAGAAAGCCACGGCUAACUACGUG
rnacentral:rRNA from 1 species